rnacentral:ncRNA from 1 species
GAUCAGCAAAGCUGGGGAAUGUGUAGACAUUCAUCGGAACUCCCGGCAAAAGGCUUGCAAAGGUGAUUUCCCUUUC